GCCGGCCAAGGCGCCCAGGCCAGUGCAGUUCAGACAGGCACUCGGCCGACUUUCCCCUCCGCCGAGCUCUGUGGAGUUGCCCUGGAAAUGAGGCACAACUGGAGCCGAUCUCUGGCUUUUGUUCCAUUGCAACUCCUUUCCCCUAGAUGUCCAGGGCCACACCCCUUCCUCUUGAGGCUCAAAUUCUCACCGGGCCCUGGGCUGCAGAGCAGAGUGCUGCUUGCAAGGGAUAGAACAAGACUGGCAGUGUUUCUCCGAACUGCUGUAGACCUGGGUAGAAAAGCAUGUUUAGAAACCGGAAGGAAGAGUAACUAUGCUCUCACAAAAUGCGGGCUCCUGGUUGAGGGCGACCUCUGCCCUCUGUUCUGCUCCCAGCAGUGGACUGCGAAAACCCACGCUGCUGGCAGGAGAUGAAAGGGGAUCUUUCAACAUUUCCACCCAUUGUCUGCACUUUCUCCCUGCUUGGUCACCCUCAGAUUUGUUAUGGAAUUGCGUUACUGUGGGGCUUUCCCUGCCCCCAGAAACAACUCUGAGAGAAGAGCCAGCAGCUGAGUAAAUUUGCGUUCCAGAGAGGAGAACACAGAAGCACAUGACGAAGUGAAGCCGGCCUGGGGAAGCUUUAAGAUGGCUGCAUGAAAGACGCAGGAAAACUAAAUUGGAAACUUGGAGCACUUAGCAGCUCCACCUAACCAAUGAGGAAUUGUAGUUCUUAGCACCGAUGUGGCAGAGUUAGUUCAGAAAAUGUGGAGCUAUAGAAGAAACAGAGAGAGGGAGGAAGGAAAGAAGAAAUGAAUGAACUGACUCCACAGUUGCUUGCUAAGUGCCUGAAAUGAGCCCAGCUCUGUUGCGUAAUGAAUAACACAGGCUACACACAUUCAGGUGCGCACGCAUGUGUUUGUGUGUGUGUGUGUGUGUGUGUGUGUGUAUGCUGAGGAAUUGCCGGUGAGUGUCCAUGGAGGACAAAUCAGAGAGUGUCCAUCUUGACCAGCUUCUUAAGAAUCUUCUUAAGAUUCUAGAGGAAAGACAAGAAAGGACCUGCUUCAAUGCCCAACUGAGCUGGGUGGUGGUAGUUAGAGG
rnacentral:lncRNA from 1 species